GAUGAACGCUGGCGGCGUGCCUAAUACAUGCAAGUCGAGCGAACGGACGAGAAGCUUGCUUCUCUGAUGUUAGCGGCGGACGGGUGAGUAACACGUGGAUAACCUACCUAUAAGACUGGGAUAACUUCGGGAAACCGGAGCUAAUACCGGAUAAUAUUUUGAACCGCAUGGUUCAAAAGUGAAAGACGGUCUUGCUGUCACUUAUAGAUGGAUCCGCGCUGCAUUAGCUAGUUGGUAAGGUAACGGCUUACCAAGGCAACGAUGCAUAGCCGACCUGAGAGGGUGAUCGGCCACACGGGAACUGAGACACGGUCCAGACUCCUACGGGAGGAAGCAGUAGGGAAUCUUACGCAAUGGGCGGAAGCCUGACGGAGCAACGCCGCGUCAGUGAUGAAGGUCUUCGGAUCGUAAAACUCUGUUAUUAGGGAAGAACAUAUGUGUAAGUAACUGUGCACAUAUUGACGGUACCUAAUCAGAAAGCCACGGCUAACUACGUG
rnacentral:rRNA from 1 species